rnacentral:rRNA from 1 species
GGCUCAGAUUGAACGCUGGCGGCAUGCCUUACACAUGCAAGUCGAACGGUAACGGGCCUUCGGGUGCCGACGAGUGGUCGAACGGGUGAGUAAUGCAUCGGAACGUACCUUUCAGUGGGGAUAACGUAGCGAAAGUUACGCUAAUACCGCAUAUUCUGUGAGCAGGAAAGCAGGGGAUCGCAAGACCUUGCGCUGAUUGAGCGGCCGAGUGUCAGAUUAGCUAGUUGGUGAGGUAAAGGCUCACCAAGGCGACGAUCUGUAGCGGGUCUGAGAGGAUGAUCCGCCACACUGGGACUGAGACACGGCCCAGACUCCUACGGGAGGCAGCAGUGGGGAAUUUUGGACAAUGGGCGCAAGCCUGAUCCAGCCAUGCCGCGUGCGGGACGAAGGCCCUUCGGGUUGUAAACCGCUUUCAGCCGGAAAGAAAUCGCCAAGGCUAAUAUCCUUGGUGGAUGACGGUACCGGAAGAAGAAGCACCGGCUAACUACGUG